GGGUAGGGGGACCACUAAGCGAAUCUAGAGCACUUGGGGACUAAGGAGACCUUGAGGAGUCCAAGAAUGAAGUAAGGAGGAGGCCCUGGUAGGAUAGUAACUCCUGACCUUUGACUUGUUCCCACCCUGUUCAGGUCAACAUCUGAAAGCAGUGCUUCAUUUCCACGAUCCCCAGGGCAGCCAUCAUCUUUAAGGUCAGAUGAUGGCCUCGGGCCCCCACUGCCACCCCCAGAAGAGGAGAGGCACCCAGGACUAUCCAAUUUGGCCACGCCCCACAGACUGGCUAUUGAGACCACCAUGAAUGAGAUCCGCUGGUUGUUGGAAGAUGAGAUGGUGGGGGCACUCCGAAGAGGGGGCAUC
rnacentral:lncRNA from 1 species